rnacentral:rRNA from 1 species
AUAAGAGGUCCCGCCUGCCCUGUGACUAUAAGUUCAACGGCCGCGGUAUUUUGACCGUGCAAAGGUAGCGCAAUCACUUGUCUUUUAAAUGAAGACCUGUAUGAAUGGCAUCACGAGGGCUUAACUGUCUCCUUUUUCCCGUCAAUGAAAUUGAUCUCCCCGUGCAGAAGCGGGGAUACACCCAUAAGACGAGAAGACCCUAUGGAGCUUCAGGCUCCAAAGCAGACUAUGUCAAACACUUCCAGACAAAGAACAAAACUAAUUAAUUCCUGCUUUACAUGCCUUUGGUUGGGGCGACCGCGGGGAAACAAAUAACCCCCAUGUGGACCGAGAGCAUAACUUCUUCUCCCACAACCUAGGACUACAAUCCCAAGUAACAGAAUUUCUGACCAACCCUACGAUCCGGCCUCAAAGCCGAUCAACGAACCCAGUUACCCUAGGGAUAACAGCGCAAUCCCCUUCUAGAGCCCAUAUCGACAAGGGGGUUUACGACCUCGAUGUUGGAUCAGGACAUCCUAUUGGUGUAGCCGCUAUUAAGGGUUCGUUUGUUCAACGAUU